rnacentral:rRNA from 1 species
AGGGGUGAUUAAUAUUUGCCAACGUGCCCUAGAGUGCGGGAUAACUAGUCGAAAGAUUAGCUAAUACCGCAUACGAUCUACGGAUGAAAGUGGGGGAUCGCAAGACCUCAGGCUCAUGGAGCGGCCGAUAUCUGAUUAGCUAGUUGGUGGGGUAAAAGCUCACCAGGGCGACGAUCAGCCUCUGGUCUGAGAGGAUACCAGCCACACUGGAACUGAGACACGGUCCAUACUCCUACAGGAGGCUGCAUUGGGGAAUUUUGGACAAUGGGCGCAGGCGUAAUCCCACAAUGCCGCGUGAGUGAAGAAGGCCUUCGGGUUGUAAAGCUCUUUUGUCAGGGAAGAAACGGUCUUGGUUAAUACCUGGGGCUAAUGACGGUACCUGAAGAAUAAGCACCGGCUAACUACGUGCCAGCAGCCGCGGUAAUACGUAGGGUGCAAGCGUUAAUCGGAAUUACUGGGCGUAAAGCGUGCGCAGGCGGUUAUACAAGACAGAUGUGAAAUCCCCGGGCUCAACCUGGGAAUUGCAUUUGUGACUGUAUGGCUAGAGUGUGUCAGAGGGGGGUAGAAUUCCACGUGUAGCAGUGAAAUG